ensembl:lncRNA LINC00616 long intergenic non-protein coding RNA 616
AAAGGACCCUGUGCAGCAGGCCACUAUUUGAAUGUGUGUUGCUCCUUGUGGCAGGUAUACUGUUCCAAUGCCCUGGGAUCUCUGUAGUGGUCGGUACUGUAUUGAUUAUAAAUGGUGAAGUCCUAGUAUCUUGCUAGAGUGAGCUGGCCAGGAUGGUGGAGCUCUACCACCAUUUCACAGGUUAUAGACAGGGGCCACCAGGUUUCAGGAAAGCAGCAAUGACCCCUCAGUAAUAGUUGGAAAGUGUGAUAUGACACUGAGCUUCACUGUGUUGGUGAAGAAGAGGUGAGGAAAAUAAAAGCUGCAGUUUGCCUCCACCUCUGAAGAAGCACAAUACACCUUUCUGGGUUACCAAUGGGAUACUUCCCAACAGCUUUGUCAUCACAUACAAUAUUCUCAAACAAGAUCUUAAUGGCAUCUACUUUCUCCAGGAACACAGCCCCUGACCUGUGUGUGUUUGCGUAGAGAAGGCAUGCUAUGUACCCCCUAGGAUAUCAAGAUUCCUGUAGCAGAUUGAGCUCUGGCAGUUGAUCUCAGUGGCUUGAUAGAGUGUCAUUAUAAAAACGCACCUGGAAGAUUCUGUGGAAAAGACAACCUCAGAAGACCAAGAGGCUGACUUUGCAAGAGAGAGUCCGUUUACCACUUAGAACCGUGAACACCACCCCCGCCCUCAUUUAUCUCCAGACUUGAACUAGUGGUUAAAUCCCAACAUGUCCCAGAGAAGUCAAAAGCAUUGUAAAAUCUGGGAAUCUGCCCACCACUCAAGCCUGGGAAAGCUGGCAGAGGAUGCACGUGUUUUACUCACCUGAGUGUUUACAAUGCUCGUGAGGUGCCUCCCUGAUAGAUAGAUUGACGGUGUCUAAAAAUUUCAAAGGAUACAGAAGGACAUCAACACCAGAACUGAAUUUUCACACUGGGAACAGCUUAUUCUAUGGAACUGUACUGUUAGCACAGAAUGCAUUGGCCAAAUAUCUCUCUGAGGGGAGAGUGAGUGUUUUAAAUCACACACAGGGUGAUAAUAUGAAUGUGGAUGAUAUUAGAAAAAUAUCAGUGAUCAUGGUA